UACGAAGGGGACUAGCGUUGUUCGGAAUCACUGGGCGUAAAGCGCUGGUAGGUGGCUUGACAAGUCGCGUGUGAAAGCUUCCGGCUCAACCGGAAAAGUGCGCGCGAAACUGUGAAGCUUGAGUGCCGGAGAGGGUCGCGGAAUUCCCGGUGUAGAGGUGAAAUUCGUAGAUAUCGGGAGGAACACCUGAGGCGAAGGCGGCGACCUGGAAGGUGACUGACACUGAGCAGCGAAAGCGUGGGGAGCAAACAGG
rnacentral:rRNA from 1 species